CUAAGAAAGUUUUUUUUUUUCUUCCACAGAAUUAUUACUUGAGUUUUACUAUGGAAUGGAAAAAGAUCAUACUUUAAAAAAUACCUAUAUUUCUGGUGUCUGCAGGGAGAAAAGAAAAAGAGGAGCAACUGUGUGGGUGCCACUAUGGACAGAGAGAGAAGCAGGGAUGAUUCUGAGGCAAUAAAGGUGUCAAGCUGGUUUAAAUUGUUACAUCAGCUGUGAAUUUUACACAGUGCCCAGACUGAGAAAAACCGGAGCGGGAGCGUGUGCUAUCAUCACUGGAAGGACAGACAAGUAAAAGUAAUUGCUUCAGGAUGUCUUAUAAGGCAAAUCCGUUGUAUGACAUGUAUUUUUAUACCUUCUAAACGCAAGGGCACCUGUUUAACAAUCUGGCAAGGCAGGAUCCUGGAAGCCUUGGGAACCUGGACAGCUGGAACUGAGACACCAGAGGCUGUCAUUUGUACUCUCUUAAAGAAAAUCAUCUGCGAGGGAAUUUCUGCACAGGCCCGGUAG
rnacentral:lncRNA from 1 species